rnacentral:snRNA from 1 species
GGGUGAUCUGGCUGUGGCGUCUGCCAUUUUCUUGAUUACUAAGGCUGAUUCCUCUGACCUGGUAGGGUAGGUCCUGUCUUCCUUUUACUGCCCCACGUGUCCUUUCUGAGCUAUUUGCUAAAGGGUUUCUGAUAGAGCCUGCUCUUUGGUCACGUCUACAUGGGAACCUGUGCUCCCAUGCUACAGCCUCUAAAUCAAGUGCUUCAUGGCCUUAUGGAGGAUGACGUAGGGUAGAAAGCUUCUGAGACUCCAGAUACAUCCACACGAGGUCCUGUGCAUGGCAGCCUGCCUUUCACU